AGAGUUUGAUCCUGGCUCAGGAUGAACGCUGGCGGCGUGCCUAAUACAUGCAAGUCGAGCGAACUGAUUAGAAGCUUGCUUCUAUGACGUUAGCGGCGGACGGGUGAGUAACACGUGGGCAACCUGCCUGUAAGACUGGGAUAACUUCGGGAAACCGAAGCUAAUACCGGAUAGGAUCUUCUCCUUCAUGGGAGAUGAUUGAAAGAUGGUUUCGGCUAUCACUUACAGAUGGGCCCGCGGUGCAUUAGCUAGUUGGUGAGGUAACGGCUCACCAAGGCAACGAUGCAUAGCCGACCUGAGAGGGUGAUCGGCCACACUGGGACUGAGACACGGCCCAGACUCCUACGGGAGGCAGCAGUAGGGAAUCUUCCGCAAUGGACGAAAGUCUGACGGAGCAACGCCGCGUGAGUGAUGAAGGCUUUCGGGUCGUAAAACUCUGUUGUUAGGGAAGAACAAGUACGAGAGUAACUGCUCGUACCUUGACGGACCAACCAGAAAGCC
rnacentral:rRNA from 1 species